AGCUUCAUGUUAACAUGCAUUAAUUCGUUCCUCAAUUCCAAUUGUAUAUGUGGGAUGAAUCAGAAUACCUGUCACUAUUUGUAAGAACCAAGGCGGCAAAGCUCUUGUUUGGAAACAUCAAGCUCCUUGAGCUACUGGGAAAGCAGUGAUGGAUUCUUCCUCAUCAGGUGCAGAUGAGAACCAACUAGUUAAGGGAAAACACCAUCAUGAUAAAAAUGUCAACUUCCACCUGAUUUGGUUAAUUCUUCUAGAGAUGCUGUUGCAACAAGGGUACAAAGUCCUCUAAAAUUUGAAGCAACUGUGAUUGCCAGUCUAGAUGGUGAGAAUGGCAAGUUUGAAAUGGUUUGUGUGCCAAUUCCAUGCAAGAACCAGAGUGUUCAGGU
rnacentral:misc_RNA from 1 species